rnacentral:rRNA from 1 species
CCUACGGGUGGCAGCAGUGAGGAAUAUUGGUCAAUGGUCGCAAGACUGAACCAGCCAUGCCGCGUGCAGGAAGACGGUCCUAUGGAUUGUAAACUGCUUUUAUACAGGAAGAAACCCUCCCACGUGUGGGAGCUUGACGGUACUGUAGGAAUAAGGAUCGGCUAACUCCGUGCCAGCAGCCGCGGUAAUACGGAGGAUCCAAGCGUUAUCCGGAAUCAUUGGGUUUAAAGGGUCCGUAGGCGGUCUUAUAAGUCAGUGGUGAAAGCCCAUCGCUCAACGAUGGAACUGCCAUUGAUACUGUAAGACUUGAAUGCUUAGGAAGUAACUAGAAUAUGUAGUGUAGCGGUGAAAUGCUUUAGAUAUUACAUGGAAUACCAAUUUGCGAAGGCAGGUUACUACUAAGUGAUUGACGCUGAUGGACGAAAGCGUGGGGAGCGAACAG